CAGCCGCCACGGGAAUACAGAGGGUGCGAGCGUUAAUCGGAUUUACUGGGCGUAAAGCGUGCGUAGGCGGCUUCUUAAGUCGGAUGUGAAAUCCCUGAGCUUAACUUAGGAAUUGCAUUCGAUACUGGGAAGCUAGAGUAUGGGAGAGGAUGGUAGAAUUCCAGGUGUAGCGGUGAAAUGCGUAGAGAUCUGGAGGAAUACCGAUGGCGAAGGCAGCCAUCUGGCCUAAUACUGACGCUGAGGUACGAAAGCAUGGGGAGCAAACAGGAUUAGAUACCCCCGUAGUCCCUGUCUCUUAUAA
rnacentral:rRNA from 1 species